UUCCCGGGCCCCGAAUAAGAGGUCGAACACGCCCUGAGACAAGCCGGUGGUCACAUCUGAGAGCCCGACUGGGGAAAGCGAGCGUGCUGAGGAAUGAGAGGUCCGUGGGGGGAUACCCGGUGGAGGUGCUCCCACUGAGGUCCCCAAAUCUCCCCCAGUGCUAAUCGCCAGGGCCUCAUACCCGUAGGUAGAAGGACCGAGGCGGGGAGCCGCUGGGGUGGCUUGCUUUCUUACGAAAAACCGCAACGUUGCCAUGGUCAUGUUCUCGCAAUGAGGACAAGACCCAUCCACGAACGAUAUCUCCGCGGGGGCAGUGCCCAGACACGUAAGACAACGAUCGUGGCCGUCAGAAGCCGAGAGAUAACGACCGCAACCAGGAAUAACACACAAACGGUAAGGCAUCUUAAAAAAGACGUUCCGUGUGUGCCGCUCUUUUAGUGAAGAAAAUAUACUCUUUUAGAAUAUAAUCUUUUUGUUGUUUGUUUUUUUCUGCCAAAGCGCCCUGGGGCAUUCUCUGCACUGCACCGGUGCAGAGGGGGAGAAGCCGCUGAAAUGAGUCGUAAGAAUCCAGCAGAGGAGGUGAAUGAAAAUCGCGGAGAAUUCAGCUCAGUGAAUAGAACCGCUCGGCUCCGAAGAGAAAAUCUGAAUGAGUGGUUGCAUACCAGCUCCUUAUACCCGUAUGUCCAGGGGAGUGGCAUGCAAAUUCCACUCACCAAUUCCCAUUGGCCUUUUUUCAAAGAUCAGAGGUGUUUGGGGCUCCCAAGAGUGACCCCUAGUGUCACUACAUCGACACAACUUCAAAAAGAGGAAAUCACCACCACAGCCCAGUUUUACAGUAAAAGACAGUGAGACAGCAGACAUGACCAACGCUUUCCCUGGAAAGAGGGAUGGUGACUUUCAGCAAAACAACUCAUGCAGCAAUGAAUGACAUUACAACUUUCUAUGUCCAACAGGCACAGUCUGCCAAUAUCAGCUGCAGAUACAGCCCAACAAAUGACACUGAAUUUAUCACGGUGAAACUGACUAAAUAUAAUACAAUAUUGUGUUCAUACUUAAAUAUGAUUUAAUGGACAAAGCAGUCAUGUAAUGACCACAUCACAUUCAUUUGGAUUCCAGAGACUAAUGAAAUAUCAUUUGAGUUGUCAAAUCUUCAGAUAAAUGAUACAGGCACAUACAGCUGUACUGUGAGGAAAAUUGUAAAACCACCUGAAUUAAUUCUGGGAGAAGAAAAAACAAGAGUUCAAGUAAUUGGUAAAUCAUUUCUUUAUAGUCAGGAAAAAUAUGACCUAAAUAACUGUAUUUUAUAGAUUUGAAAUCUUUCCACAUAGAUUUCACAAAGCAAAUAGACAUUAAAAAAAUGUAGAAUUAAGUAUUUUCUAUUAAUCUAUUGACCAUUUGCAGUGUCUCCAGUAUUGUCAGUCUCCUGUGUGCAGAUGCCUGAUGGAUCACCCAUGAUUGUGUGCAUCUCUGAAGGAUUUUACCCCAAUUCUCUUGAACAGUUGUGGAUCAGAGAUGGAGAAAUCCUCAAAAGCUCAAACUCACACAAACACAUCAAUUACAGCAUUAAAAAACACAAUCUACUCCUGCUGGGUAAAUCGCUUGUCCCUAAAAGAACCACUGAUGGUCAAUUUAUCAAGCUCUGUCUGUUAUGAAAGAGGGGGUAAGUCAAAGGAUUAGUUCACCAAAAAUGAAAAUUCAGUCAUUGUUUACUCACACCUGUGUUGUCAUAACCCUAUAUGACUUUCUUUCUUUUUCUUAACACAAAGGGAGAAAAUGUGAAAAAAAGUUGUGCUCAGUAAUGUCAUACAAUGGCGGUUUAUAGUGAUCACCUCUUCAAGCUUCAAAAGAACACAAAAAUAUAAUUCAGAAGAUUAAUAAAUUAUUCCAUGAGACUCGUGAUUGUUAUGAAAGCAUUCGAUUAGGUUUGGUGACAAACAAACCGAAAUCGAAUGUAUUAUUUAGUGAAAAUCUUCACUGACCGUUGAUAUCCUGUGGCUGUUCAUGACAGGGCACGAGAGCAAAAGUUUACAUAGCCCACUCGCGACAUUGGGGCGUUCAAGUGAAAACUCGUUUUGUUUAUCUCAAUACAGGUCCUCCACAGCAAUAGCGACAUCAGAACACAACACAGCUGCACACAAAACAGAGAACAGGUGACUCCAGCCAGGUCUCCUAAGCAACCAAAUUGGCCCGGUUGCUAGGGAGGGUAGUGUCACAUAGGGUAACCUCCUCAUGGUCGCUAUAAUGUGGUUCUCACUCUCAGUUGUGUGCGUGGUGAGUUGUGCGUGGAUGCCGCGGAGAAUAGCGUGAAGCCUCCACACACGCUAGGUCUCCGCGGUAAUGCGCUCAACAAGCCACGUGAUAAGAUGCGCGGAUUGAUGGUCUCAGACGCGGAGGCAACUGAGAUUCAUCCCCCACCAAAAAAUGCUCAUUCUUAAUACUUGGUUGAAAGUAAAAAACUGCCUAAAGUUUUGAACCCAUGGACAUACCCAAAUUCUGGGUUUCCUCCCUAAUGAUGCUUUGCCAGGCCUUUACUGCAGCUGUCUUAAGUUAUUGCUUGUUUGUGGGUCUUUCUGCUUUCAGUUUUGUCAUCAGCAAGUGAAAUGCAUGUUCAGCUGGAUUGAGGUCAGGUAUGUUUUGUGUCACUGUCCAUCAGUACUGUGAAGCGCUGUCCUUUCAGUUUUGCAGCAUUUGGUUGAACCUAAGCAGAUAGUAUUACCCUAAACACUUCUGAAUUCAUCCUUCUUCUUCUGUCAGCAGACAUAUCAUCAACAAACAGCAGUGACCCAGUUCCACUUGCAGCCAUACCUGCCAUGCAAUAACAUGUCUCGACCAUGUUUCACGGGUGAUGUGGUAGAAGAUAGUCCGGAUAUGUUAAAGAACAUGUUUGGACAUGUCCUUCCUUGUGUGUAUUGGCCAGUCGUCGGAUGUCAGUGAUUGUUUAUGGUAUGUUAAUGUUAAUGAUGUCUUACCUCUCACCAUUAUUCCUUCCUGGUAUGCUUUUCACACCUACAUCACUACCUACAUCCUGAAUUUGUUGUUUAAAUAAUGGUUUAAGAUGCUGUAGUUAAAACACAGAAGACAAUCUGCAACUUUCUGUUACAAUGGCUGCUCCGAAAAAUCCUAAAACCCCUAGAAGAGUGAUGUGUAUUUCACCAACAAGAGGACCUGUUGAAAUGAGAGAGGAAAUUACUUUUGCGCCAAGGAAAAAACAAAAUGUUAGUUUGACAAAUUUUCUUCAUGAAGAUGUGGAUUUUGCGAAACGUGAUUUCUCAUUGUCUGGUAAUCGUGUAGGAAGAUAUGUGUUUGACAAGGUGAUGCGGACUGUGAAACUCUAUGCUGUGGAUAUUGGAGCUGAUUUUACAUCACAGGAACCCUGCCUGAUUUUCCCUGCCAAAGACUGGUUUAUGUUUUAUAAUUAGCUUUGGAGAGAUUUGAAUGACUGUGGCGAUGAGCCACUGUACAUCGGUGAGUGGGAUGCCAUGACGACAAGACAAAGCUCUGCGAAAGUGCAUGGCCUAUUCCUGAGUCUGAGCAUCACAUGUACUAUGACAUGAAAUGUUUGUUUCAGCGGAAAGAUGUUCAUAUGCUUGACGACAUUUUUACCUGUAUUGACAAGAUAUUUAGAUGGUGUGACAUGUAUGAUCGCUACAGUUCUGUAAAGACGAUAUUGUUUUACCCUGAGCAGGGCGUCAACAACCCCAAAGACCGCCUCUUAAGUCCGCCCCCAUAUUACAGCCAUUAAAAACGGCAGCAGUUCGGUACAUUCGCUACAUACAUUCACCAUAUGUGAAGAAUCUAUGACUGUAUACUGCUACACCAACACUCCUGAGACUGCACCGGUGAUGCCUGAUGACAAUGCAACACCGCUGGAGCCACACCCACAAACUUGUGACAACAACUGGUUGGAUACAUUUUGCAAGGAUCUGGGGUAUCACAACCUGAUCUUCCUUACAAUGGCGUACAGCAAUGCUGGAGCAAUAGCUGGAGCUGCGGCCUAUGCUGGGAUUGAUGACACAGACAGUUGUAUCCGCUCUGACGGCUUCAAAAUCAUAAAAGCGACUGUCGUGGUCCUUCUGGAACAUCUCAUCAACAAAAAGCUGAAAGAACUCUGUUUGGGCUGCGAGGUGGACCAUCCGAGUCAGAUUAGACAUUCCUGCUUGUUUGAACCUGACGCCUAUUUCUUUGACGCGUACUUUGAUGAACUGUCACAUAAUCUGGUUAAAACAGGACUUAAACACAUCAUAGCUCAAGCAUUGAGCCGGUGUGGUUUGAGGAUUCACCCCCAGAGGAUUCAGGGGACAGUGAACACUAUUAUGCAUGAACUGCGUUACGAAGUUUACAUUGUGGAAAAGCUUCGGGAAGUCAGAGAGAUAGUUGUGGAUGUCAGCAGCGAACAGAUUGUCUAUGAUGCCGUGGACAACUGGAAAGGCUCCACACAAGUUGCCUGUGUGUGAUACUGAAAUGGGGAACACAUGCUGUCCGACAGGACUGGCAAAGCGUCUACUUAAACGUCGUAUUAGAUGUGAGAUGACCAACUUAAUGUACAAAAUCAUUACUGACUGUGUUGAUGUACCCAUUGCUGUAAAUGAACGUGGUGUUGAUCCCAAAUGUUUAACAAACCUCAAGAAGCAAAUAUCUGUUGUAAGAGGCAUGUCAAAUGAGUGGACAGAUAUGAUGCGUAUGUGUAUUCAUGCGGGCGAUCCAAUUUGUGCAACUAUCAGAAAAAUACUAGACCUGGUGACUGAAUGUGGUAUUUGAAUUGCUGACAUAAUCUGUAUGUGUACGUAUGUGACUGAUUUAUGUGUAAUCACAGUGUCAAGAAAUGACCAGACUGAUGUUUGUGAAAUUAUUGAAACACUAGUUGAUUACAUUCUUGAGAAAAACAUUGUGAUGUGUAUAAAAUUUCUACAGUACCUCGAUGAUGCAAAUGUUCUCUUUUACUGAAAUAAAAACCCAAAACAAUUAAA